GCGAAUAGCUGAAUGUUGUGUUUCAGAUCAUCAAGAACUAAACGCCAAGGAACAUCAUGAAAAUUUUGAUUUUAACGACGUUUUUGUUUGCCGUUUUCUUUGUACCAAGGGUGCAUUGUAUUCAAAAUGAAAAUAAUAGUGGAAAUACAGUUGACCAAGCCCAGG